GCUUUCAAAGCCACCCGCUGCUCUUUUUCUUCUUUUAAUGGUGAAGAUUGGGACUGGAUCAUUCUGAGUUGUUUCUGAGCUUUGUAGGAAGUAUCCCAUCAUGUCUGUCCUCAGCCACUAACCCUGGACAUCUCUACAAUUAUGUCUAUGCCACUGCUGGACGAUGGAACACAGCCUGUUCAUCUGGAACACACCUGUCAAUCAUCUAAAACUUCUGCAACUACCUCAAUCAGGGUUCUCUAGAAGGACAGAAUUAAUUUCUUGAGAGUAUCAAGAAACAGGAGCUCAGAAUGUGUGCAUCCAGCCAUCUGAGAUGUUCCCCACAGAAAAGCAAGUUAUUCCUCAUUGCAUUUUUUUAAAUUGUGAUAUCGUAGUAGUCAUUUUGUAGUUCCAACCAAUUUCUCUCCUAUAAAAACAUUCCAUGGUCAAGACAAUUCACUAGGGCCUCAAGAAUAAAUUUUUAAUCAUGCGCUAUUCUUCCA
rnacentral:lncRNA from 1 species